rnacentral:rRNA from 1 species
UACACUCCUGCGGGAGGCAGCAGUGGGGAAUAUUGGACAAUGGGCGCAAGCCUGAUCCAGCCAUGCCGCGUGAGUGAUGAAGGCCCUAGGGUUGUAAAGCUCUUUCACCGGUGAAGAUAAUGACGGUAACCGGAGAAGAAGCCCCGGCUAACUUCGUGCCAGCAGCCGCGGUAAUACGAAGGGGGCUAGCGUUGUUCGGAUUUACUGGGCGUAAAGCGCACGUAGGCGGACUAUUAAGUCAGGGGUGAAAUCCCGGGGCUCAACCCCGGAACUGCCUUUGAUACUGGUAGUCUUGAGUUCGAGAGAGGUGAGUGGAAUUCCGAGUGUAGAGGUGAAAUUCGUAGAUAUUCGGGGGAACACCAGUGGCGAAGGCGGCUCACUGGCUCGAUACUGACGCUGAGGUGCGAAAGCGUGGGGAGCAAACAGGAUUAGAUACCCCAGUAGUCCCAUGAU